GGGGGGAGGCCGGAUCCUGGGCUGUGUCCCGGCGCCCUGUGCUCCGGAGCCUGAGCUGGUGGAUUCGCGCUCCCGCCCCGCAGCCCCCU
rnacentral:pre_miRNA from 1 species